UUGCAGUUGAGACAAUAUAUCUAUGAGCAA
rnacentral:piRNA from 1 species